AACAGGAGUUGCUGAACUUCUGAAUCGCUGAACACACGGAAGUGCUGGGAGGUGGUGCACCUGGAGAGCGCGUGGGAGCGCCGCGUCCUUCCGACCUUGACUCCACCUGUCUCCUUUGUGAUUCCCCGUCUUCUUUCACAAUAAUCCUGUGGCUUGGAAAUUAUUUUUUGCUGGUUCUGUAUUAUAAAAAAACAAAAAGCAUAACAAGACAAUACAAAACAACACCAAAGACUGAAAGAACUUGAUUCCCUGGUUCUACCUGAUCUGCAGAUUCUCCACCUUCUCCCACAAGCUCUACCUCUCUGCAUCCCUAAUCCAGCAUGGCCUUGCAGGACAGGACAGGCCCUGAGAGAUUUUUCUCUGGUGAUUUGCACUUAAUAAAGAGCCUUCACCUGCCAAAAUGAAACCUGACUGUGUGAAGUCACCUGGUGUGAUUGAGAAAGCACCCCAGCAACCCUGGAGGAGUCGGCGUUGGCUAUCCUUAUCUGUAGAGGAGAAAACUGAGACUGGAAAAUGUCCAGGUGGAGGACGAGUGGUUCUGAUUCUUGAGGUAAGGAUAAAGGGAAGAAAGUUGGAAUAGUGGGAGGGGAAAGGAAAGGGAGAGACUCACUUGUGUAUCACCUCCCAACAAAUGUACCGUGAGCCCUUUGUCACUGAAUAGCCACCAUGCU